UACAGAGGGGGCAAGCGUUGUUCGGAAUUACUGGGCGUAAAGGGCGCGUAGGCGGCCUUCUAAGUCGAACGUGAAAUCCCCGGGCUCAACCCGGGAACUGCGUCCGAGACUGGGAGGCUAGAAUCCGGGAGAGGGAUGUGGAAUUCCAGGUGUAGCGGUGAAAUGCGCAGAUAUCAGGAAGAACACCCGUGGCGAAAGCGGCUCUCUGGAACGGUACUGACGCUGAGACGCGAAAGCGUGGGGAGCGAACAGG
rnacentral:rRNA from 1 species